rnacentral:rRNA from 1 species
GACGAACGCUGGCGGCGUGCUUAACACAUGCAAGUCGAACGGAAAGGCCCUGCUUGCAGGGUACUCGAGUGGCGAACGGGUGAGUAACACGUGGGUGAUCUGCCCUGCACUUUGGGAUAAGCCUGGGAAACUGGUCUAAUACCGGAUAGGAGCCAUUUUUAGUGUGAUGGUUGGAAAGUUUUUUCGGUGUAGGAUGAGCUCGCGGCCUAUCAGCUUGUUGGUGGGGUAAUGGCCUACCAAGGCGGCGACGGGUAGCCGGCCUGAGAGGGUGGACGGCCACAUUGGGACUGAGAUACGGCCCAGACUCCUACGGGAGGCAGCAGUGGGGAAUAUUGCACAAUGGGCGCAAGCCUGAUGCAGCGACGCCGCGUGGGGGAUGACGGCCUUCGGGUUGUAAACUCCUUUCGCUAGGGACGAAGCUUUUUGUGACGGUACCUAGAUAAGAAGCACCGGCUAACUACGUG